rnacentral:lncRNA from 1 species
GGCCCCGUAGGUGCAGAGAGGCAAGUGCUUAGCCCACAGCCACACAGCCUGUCAUUUGUACUGCUGGGAAUGGAGUCAGGCUGGGUGACACCUGGAGGCUAAUCUGUUACAACCGAUUCCUGGAAAGACUCAAGCCCAGAGGCACCUGACCCCAAAGCUCCUCGGAUGCUCCUUUUCUGCUGUCCUACAGGCCCACAUGGAGGAGGUAACUGCUUCAGAGGGCCUCACAAGACAGAACAGCACCCAGCUCCCUCUCCCAGCCAGGUGCUUCCUAGCAGACAGCAAGGACGAGCAGACCCAUCUACCUCCAUCCCAGCCUGCAGAACCAACACUGUUGCUCCAGCUACUCUAUUUCCCUGACUACUCCUCCA